CGACGUCGCGAGAAGUCCACUGAACCUUAUCAUUUAGAGGAAGGAGAAGUCGUAACAAGGUUUCCGUAGGUGAACCUGCGGAAGGAUCAUUGUCGCAUCCACGCAAAAAGAGCGACCCGCGAACCGGUUGGAACGAACCUCCCGACGGCGGGGGGAGGGCGAGGGCGCGCCCGAGUCCCUCCUCCCCCGGCAACCAAACCCCGGCGCCCCAGGCGCCAAGGAACAGAGAAUGAAAGCGAGGCGCGCUCGCUGGCGGCCCGGGAACGGCGCCGAUCGCCCAGCGUCGCGCCUCUUGCCAUCUUGUGCAUCCGAAACGACUCUCGGCAACGGAUAUCUCGGCUCUCGCAUCGAUGAAGAACGUAGCGAAAUGCGAUACUUGGUGUGAAUUGCAGAAUCCCGUGAACCAUCGAGUCUUUGAACGCAAGUUGCGCCCGAAGCCGUCAGGCCGAGGGCACGCCUGCCUGGGCGUCACGCACCGUCGCCAGCGCCCGAUCCCCCGGGCGCGGCGGACGAUGGCCUCCCGGGAGCCUCGCCUCCCGGCUGGCCGAAAAGGGGGCCCAACGUGGCGACCGCCACGAUCCACGGUGGUUGAGUGAACACUCGCUCGAGGCCAAGACGUGCGCGCGUCGUCCCACCGGUCUUGGGCCCGUCGGCAGGGCGUGUUACCGCCGCUGCCCGCUCGUACGCGACCCCAGGUCAGGCGGGGCUACCCGCUGAGUUUAAGCAU
rnacentral:rRNA from 1 species